GUGGUGUAUCAUGGGAAAAAAGUUGGUUGUAAAGCAGUUCCAGCGUCGGUGAAAAAGACAACAGACUUUCUUUCAAAUAAACGCAUAAAGAUAUCGGCUAGCUAUGUCUGCAGGGAGGAUGCCCAACUGUCCUGCCUCUGCGUCCAAGGGCUUUAGCUCGACCCCUGUCAAAAGUACUCAGGGGAAAGACACCCACACAUCAAAGGGGUUGGACGACGACGUCCUGUCCGACGACGAAGACACAUUCUCUCUGCUGUCUCCCAUCUAUCAUGACAGUUAUGAUAGUGAGGAGGAGCUGGAGCACAGCCCAGCUCAGCAGACUUCACCCAGGCACAGCGACAGCUCCAGACUCAGCGUUUCACCAGUCAGAUGUGAGCUACCAAGAACACCUUCAAUGCAGAUGAUGAAUGCAGUUGUGGAGCCUGCAGGCUCACCGACUCUUGGUGCAUGGGAAAUGUGGCUGGUGAACAAAGCUAAAGAAGACCGUUUCAAAUUGGAAAAACAAGCAGAGGAGGAGCGGUUACGGAAGGAAAAACAAGAACAAGAAGAAAAGGAGCGGGAACAGAAAAAGAUUGUCAUGGAAGAGAAAAUCCAAGAAUGGCUAAAGAUGAAAAGACAACAGGAGAAGCACGAGCAACAAUUAAAACUGAGCAAAAAGGAAGAGGAGACACAGAGGCAGUGGGAGAAACAAAGAGAGAUUGAACAGAAAGCUCAACAGAAGUACAAAGACUGGCUGCAGAAGAAGAACCAGGAAAAAAUAGAAAUGGAAAAGAAGGCAAAAGAGGAAGCUACUCUGAAGGAGGAGCAGGAGAAAGAGCGCCGCAGGAUGGCGGAGGAGAAGUUUAAGGAGUGGGUGGCAAAAGCAAAUGAAAAAAGCAAAGCAAGUCCAAAAUCACCCUCCUACCCCAAAAGUCCCUACAACAAAUCCUACCCAUCACCCAGCUUCUACAAUCCAGUCCCCUGGAAACCGAUUCACGUCCCUCCUCCAGAAACAUCACAGAACAAGGCAUCUGUCAAGAAACCUCAAAAACAAAGAAAAAGCCAACAAAGCCCCGGCACCGUUUUUAGACUGAGAAACUCUGCCAGUGCAGCACAGUUCCUGCAGAGGAGAUGACACAGCAGACCAACGUCUUUUACUGAUACGGUAGCUUAGCUACGGCUCAGAUAUGAUUUCAUCACCGCUCAUCCACUCCACCACAGCUUGUGAGCCAAGGCUUGGCUGAAUCACAGAAGUAUUUCUGUUCUCCAAUGUGGAUGUGGUAAUUAAGCUACCAUGUCAAGAUUUUGGUUUGUCAUAUUGUACACUGUGAUUUUGCACUAGCUCAAAUUAGUUUGUAUAUAAGGAUGUCUGAUUUUUUGGGAAUGAUCAAGAUUUUUAUAUGAUUUUAUAAAGAUGUUAAUGAUUUGUUCUGAUACUUAAAUCAGCUUUCACACCAUAAUAAUGUCAUUGCUAGACAUUUAAAUCCUGUAGUUUAUUUUGUUUUAAUACAGGCAUUAUCUAAGUUCUUUUUCCCUGUUGUUUUUGUCUUAUUUGUGCCAUCACAACACGUCAUACCACACCGCAUUUCAUUGCAUUUAAUAAGGCAUCAACCACACACAACCACACAACAGAUAGAAGGCGGCUUGUGGUCACAGCCAAAGAUAGACCCGGCUUGGUCAAGUGCCCCUCACACUCACACAUUGUUCUGUGUCCAGCUGUGCCUUGUUCUUCUAUGGGCUGAGAUGACGACAGAACAAGUGAGGGGGUGGACGGAGAGAGGCAGCGAGAGAGACUGAUUCAGAUUGAGAGCCGUAUGCUCAUUCUGUGUGAACAUCUCACUGUGAUCUCAAUGUGUGCAGCCUGAGGUAAAAUGAUUUCAAUUACACGUUUUGUUAAGAGCAUCCUGUCUUAAACCACAUCUUUUCAAUGUGUGUUGGUGUUUUGUUCAUGCUUACUCUCUGCUUAACACCCCCUUUCUUUUGUUGAGUGCUGUGGAAUGUGUUAGUUGACAGUAGUCAGCGAGGGGGCUAAUGGUGUGAGGCGUUUUUUACGUGUACAGAAAACACUGGGGUCCAAAGGACAGCUGUUAAGACAAAUGUCAAGUGUUUACAUUCUGUCAAUUGGAGGUUUAAGCUGUUUGCUCAGGGAUAUUUGCUCACUGAGUCUUGUAAGCAAAACCUGUAUUCAUAAAGAUAAACAGCUCUGUUCAAAGUCAGCCUCCGGCACUUUGGCUCUCUGUGUACCUCUCGCUUGGUAAAAGGGUAAGUCUUACCAGUUAGUUAUAAAACCAACUAGAGCUCAAAAUGUCUAAAUCUAUUUAUGCACAAGUAAGUACUUUUUGCAAUGAGUGUCUCAGGUCAUCAAGUUUUAUUUCUGCUUUUCCCAGGUAUUGUGAUCUGUUACAGAGCCGGAGUAGAAAACUAUCCCAAGAUGCAGUGGUGCAGGUGGGCUGGCAGUUGGAGAUCACACCUACCAGGACAGUCUGCAGGGCCGGAGAUUGAGGACUCUUUCGACUUUCUUUUUAAAAUCAUCC